rnacentral:piRNA from 1 species
CGUAUGGUCAUAUGAACUGAGGCGCA